rnacentral:lncRNA from 1 species
UGUAGUCAUGUGGUUAAAUAUAGAGUAUGCACAUCUUGUUGUUACCCCGUCACUCAGUAAGUGUACUUGAUAUUUUGGAGAUAUAUUAGCUGCCUGUGUUAUAAGAUACCGGAGUUCUCGCGUAGUAUUUAGGUCACCGGUUUUGCAUUUUAAACUUCCGGGGUUGUCAACGUCUGGAUGUUGUGAUACCCUUACAUGCCAUUAAAACUACCAAAAAGUCAUUCUGUAGCCAUUGUAAGGUACUGAUACAGCUUAGUCUAAGACUGGUCCCUGAGUUGUGCCGGAACCGUAACAAAGUCAGAGUCUGAAUCGAAAAUGCAAGAAGAAACCCAGGAACGUAUUAUAUCCAGACAUGCACAAAUGGUGAACGACUUAUCUGACCAUAUUUACAAAGAAUCAGAAGAUUGGUUAAAAUUUACAGCGUUAGUAAAGGCGUAUAUGCCCCCAAAGGCAGUUAAAGAUAACCUUCAACAAAUCGUAGACUACCUGAUACAACAGCAACACAUUUCUUACGGCCAUUACGACAAGUUAUAUGAAGUUGUCUUUAAAAUAAAUAAAGCAGCUGCUGACAUCAUUAAGAAGGCAGAAUCUGAUAUAAAAGCAAUACAAGAUGGAGACUCCGAGUCUGAAACCACUGAGAAGACCAAAAUUGACCUAAAAUGAAAGGAUCCGACUAUCUCUACGAACCAAGAAAAAUAAUCAAGAGAAAUCGAGAUUGAACAUCGUCUUGCGAAUCGUCAAGUUUGAAGAAAGGACAUGUGGAAUUAAGUAAAAGGAUUUAUCAGCACCCAUGAAAUGGAACAUCCGUAACCUUUGACAAUAAAUGUAUUACGUCCUUGUCAAUCAAACACACAAGUGAUUUGCUGCUGGGCCAUUCAUACUUCUUCCUGCUGCGUGAUUCGGGUUAGGGUUAGGGUUAGAGUUAGGGUGUGCUUAAGGACUUGUGUCGGUCUGUCAACUAACUGUACUACGUACAUUUCCGCAACCGUCACGCCGAAAGACUUCGUAUUUGAGUUUUUUAGGCCUCUUUAUAAAUUUCAACAUACAUUAUAUAUAUAUAUAAAUAUAUCAAAUUUCAGUUAACAAAUUUAUUAUCUAAUUUUUCAUUUUGUGUCUGAUAGAUUUGUUUUCGGUCUUUACCUCCGAUGUCGCAUUUUCAUGCAAAUUUGAAUUUUGAUGCUAUGAACAGCACAACUUAAACGUCAUCACAGUUGUCAGUUGUUUUGUUACAUAUUAAUAGUUUCGUUUCCAAAUGUAAAAAGAAACAUCGUACAGAUGGCCUUCGAUCAACUUGUUCUUGGUUCCAGACUUAAUAACAUAUCGUUUUGUGGAAUAUUGAAUAUAAACAAUCUGUAUUGUAGCCAUUUUAACUGCAUUUGCAGGUUAGCGUUAUGAAUUAGCAGGCUUUUCUAAGAAGAAAAAAAGAGAAGACAACGAACAAAUGAGAAUUUGUUUUGUUAAAAUAAUUAUGAUUAUAUGUUAAUUUGCAGAAUUUUAUCUUAAAAAUCAGAUCCCAAGAAAAAUGGAUCAUAUAGAUAAUUUAACUCAAUCAAAACAACACCAAAUCAAAGCAACACCUAAACAACACCAACAGAACCAAAGCAACACCUAAACAACACCAACAGAAUCAAAGCAACACCUUAACAACACCAACAGAAUCAAAGCAACACCUUAACAACACCAGCAGAAUCAAAGCAACACCUAAACAACACCAGCAGAAUCAAAGCAACACCUAAACAACACCAACAGAACUAAAUCAACACCUAAACAACACCAACAGAAUCAAAGCAACACCUAAACAACACCAACAGAAUCAAAGCAACACCUAAACAACACCAACAGAACUAAAGCAACACCUAAACAACACCAACAGAAUCAAAGCCGUAAAUGUGGUAAAGAGUGAACAGAAAUAGUUUGAAUAUAAACUGAGAAGUCAUGUCCAAUAAUUAUUUGUUCUUGAAGAAUGAACUUUAUUUGUAGAGUGAAUAUAAGAUACAUACAAAUUUGCAGAAAUUCUAUUUCUUCGUUGAUUUUUCUUUUAAAAAGAUAAGACUUCUGUUUAA